rnacentral:rRNA from 1 species
UACGGAGGGUGCGAGCGUUGUCCGGAAUCACUGGGCGUAAAGGGCGCGUAGGCGGCGCGGAAAGUCGUCGGUGAAAGCUCGGGGCUCAACCCUGAGUCUGCCGGUGAUACUCCCGCGCUCGAGCUCACUAGAGGCAGAUGGAAUUCCGGGUGUAGCGGUGGAAUGCGUAGAGAUCGGGAGGAACACCAGUGGCGAAAGCGGCUCUCUGGUCCAAAACUGACGCUGAGGGGCGAAAGCGUGGGG